UCCGCGAAAUCUAUUUAGGUAGAGCGUCCGACGAAUUCCUUGGGGGGUAGAGCACUGGAUGGUUGCGGGCUGCGCGAGCGGUACCAAUACUAACCAAACUCCGAAUACCCAAGAGAACUAUCGGGCAGACACACGGCGGGUGCUAACGUCCGUCGUGAAAAGGGAAACAACCCUGACCUACAGCUAAGGCCCCCAAUUCGUGGCUAAGUGGGAAAGGAUGUGGGAAUCCCAAAACAACCAGGAGGUUGGCUUAGAAGCAGCCAUCCUUUAAAGAAAGCGUAACAGCUCACUGGUCUAAAUAAGGGUUCCUGCGCCGAAAAUGUAACGGGGCUCAAGCCACGAGCCGAAGCUUAGGGUGUGAUCCGUUGAGGAUCACGCGGUAGCGGAGCGUUCUCUAGGCCUGUGAAGCGGCACCUGCGAGGGGCCGUGGAGGUAUGAGAAGUGCGAAUGCUGACAUGAGUAACGACAAAGAGUGUGAAAGACACUCUCGCCGAAAGUCCAAGGGUUCCUGCGUAAAGUUAAUCUGCGCAGGGUUAGCCGGCCCCUAAGGCGAGGCCGAAAGGCGUAGUCGAUGGGAAUGAGGUGAAUAUUCCUCAGCCAGUUGGUAGUGACGGAUCCCGUACGCUGUCAGAUCUUAUUGGAUUGAUCUGGCUUCCAAGGGGUUCCAGGAAAUAGCUCCAACAUGAGACCGUACCCUAAACCGACACAGGUGGACUGGUAGAGUA
rnacentral:rRNA from 1 species